CUGGACAAGCGCUCUAAAUCAAGCCAGUGGCAUGAGAUCACCCUGGCUCUAGCAUUUUGGAAGAAGAUGACCAUUUUGGAAGAAGCAGCCCAAUGAGAAAAUAGGAGACUUCUUCGAGUCUGGUGUUUGUGCGUCCAUGCAAAGACGCUACGUUGCUUUAGGACGCCAAACAGAGAAGUCACGCGGCAUGAGAAGGCUAAAAAUAAGCAGUUUUCUAAUUUCCCACGAAACCACCCUUGUUUAAGCCUAAGAUGUAAGAUGCAGUAUUCUCUCUUAGGGAACCAUUAAGGAUAAAGAAUCAACGUGAACUGAGUCUCAUAACGUGUUUUAUUUCAUUUAGUCCCUUGGCAUUUUGAGGUGGGUGUCAGGGUCCUCCCUUCACUGACAGGGAAACAACUCUAAGAGGAUCACCACGGCCAAGCUGCCACUCAAGCCAACACCUGCUCGACUUCAAGAGCCAGGCUUUUUUCUACUACCCGUCGUGUUUUGUUUUCUCCCCUCCCGUUUCGUUUGCAUUAGGUGUAGGGACUACAGCUACCCUGUCACCCACGGUCGCUGCGAAAUGUCGCUUACGGUCAGGCCCCCAGAACGGUCACGCGCCCUCCCCUCCUGAGGUGUCUCCGAAACUCGAGCUCCACCGACGAGAAGCGCAGGCCUGAGGCACCGACGCCAGCGCCAGCGCCAGCGCCAGCCCCAGCGUGGCCUCAGGAGCCCGGAAGGCGCCCCCGGGGCGCGUUUACAACACUGUCGUAAAGCGGCGGCUGCCGACAGCCGGCCUCGAGGCGCCGUCGAGGAGCUCGGCGGAGAAAGGAGAUGGAGGAAGGCUGAGGGCCGGGUGACGCCGAAUGGAGACGAGGCGCGGGGUGAAUGGUUGGAGAAGGGAGAGUGAAUGCGGAUUAUCAGGAGAACACAAAUGUGCUGAAGUUAAAGAAAAAUAGGUGCCAUUGUUUUUUUCUUUUAACACGUCAUUUGAAAAUAAAGAUCUUUAAGGAUCACUGGGAGCUGGGAUGUUCAAGUGAAAGUUACCCAUACUGACUUCCUGUAGGUGGAAUAUUCUAAACAGUGCUGCUGGUAUUGUAGCUGUGAUUAUCUCUGAGAUUUUAAAAUCCAUAACGUAGAAUCAUAAUGGUAGUAACAGAUAUAAGGUGUGGAAUACAGAAACACAAAGUUCAGAGCCUUUACUAAAUUCAUAAUUAAUUUAAAACCCAGUCAACCAAAGGAAAUUAUUAUAUAAACAAAAAGAGAAAAUGCAUUAGGAGAACUACCUUGUAUGAAAGCAGUUGGAUUUGUCUUUCCGAGGUGUGAUUGCACACACAGAAACACAUUAAAGCAUUGGCUCAGGGCAUCCGUCAGGCUGUGCAGCACAUUCAUCUGUCUCUGCAGCUAUGGGUAGCUCCUGUAAGAAGUAUGCUGGGCUUAGUGGGGGGAAAUAAUAAAUCAACAUGUGCCAUCA
rnacentral:lncRNA from 1 species